CUGGAACAGUUCGGUCCUGGAGGAUUACCCGAGUUGGCCGAGAUGCCUCAGAUCCCGCCUCCCGGCGUUUUGUACCCGGCACCAGUGGCACCAGUGGCUCCCAUCGCUCCUGUUCUCCCUCUUUUGAACAAUUUUGAUCUGGCUGCUAUUGCCCAGGAUGUCGAAGAUGGAGUUAUCGAAUUGGUGGACCUCGUUAGCGAGGACGAACAAGACUGAAUUGAUUCGUUUUCCCGACGCCCCUUCCCAUGAUGAUGGCUCCGCUCGGGAAGAGUGAGAUGUGGUUUAGUUUUAGCUUCUGUUUCUUUCUUUUAAUUUGUGGUGGGCUUAUUUGAGAUUUCGACUGUCCACAUUAGUCUCUAUUGUGAUCUCUAUUUUAUAUGAUGCCCCUUUUAUGGACUAGCGGGCUUUUAAUUCCUUCACUCAUUCGUGUUCCUUUGUUGAUAGUGACUUGUAUUUUAUUGUGAUUUCUCUAUUUUUUGAUGCCCCUUGUUAUGGAUUAGCGGGCUUUUGAUUCCUUCACUCAUCUGUCACUUGACUCUCCGUCCCUUAGGAUAAUAAAUUGUUAUGCAUGACUUUGGUGUUUGGAUUGAAACUCCUUUAUCUUUGCCAUUGGUUUAUUGUAAACUUUGAGCAUGAA